rnacentral:rRNA from 1 species
AAACCAACAGGGAUUGCCCCAGUAACGGCGAGUGAAGCGGCAAGAGCUCAAAUUUGAAAUCUGGCCUCCCCCGGGGGUCCGAGUUGUAAAUUUCAAAGGAUGAUUCGGGCGCUGCCCCCGUCUAAGUUCCUUGGAACAGGACGUCAGAGAGGGUGAGAAUCCCGUCUUGGGCGGGCGGCCCGCGCCCGUGUGAAGCUCCUUCGACGAGUCGAGUUGUUUGGGAAUGCAGCUCUAAGCGGGUGGUAAAUUUCAUCUAAAGCUAAAUACCGGCCGGAGACCGAUAGCGCACAAGUAGAGUGAUCGAAAGGUUAAAAGCACCUUGAAAAGGGAGUUAAACAGCACGUGAAAUUGUUGAAAGGGAAGCGCGUGCGGCCAGACUCGGGGGGCGGGGUUCAGCGGGCGCUCGUCGCCCGUGCACUGCCCGCUCCCCGGGCCAGCAUCAGCUUCGACGGCCGGUCAAAGGCCCCCGGAAUGUGUCGUCUCUAGGGACGUCUUAUAGCCGGGGGUGCAAUGCGGCCCGUC